rnacentral:rRNA from 1 species
UACAGAGGUGGCAAGCGUUGUUCGGAAUUACUGGGCGUAAAGGGCGCGUAGGCGGCCUUCUAAGUCAGACGUGAAAUCCCCCGGCUUAACCUGGGAACUGCGUCUGAUACUGGAAGGCUUGAGUGCGGGAGAGGGAUGUGGAAUUCCAGGUGUAGCGGUGAAAUGCGCAGAUAUCAGGAGGAACACCAAUGGCGAAGGCAGCACUCUGGGGACGUGACUGAGCUGAGACGCGAAAGCGUGGGGGAGCAAACAGG